rnacentral:rRNA from 1 species
AACGAACGCUGGCGGCAGGCCUAACACAUGCAAGUCGAGCGAGGACUUCGGUUCUAGCGGCGGACGGGUGAGUAACGCGUGGGAAUGUGCCCUUCUCUACGGAAUAGCCCUGGGAAACUGGGAGUAAUACCGUAUACGCCCUUUUGGGGUAAGAUUUAUCGGAGCAGGAUCAGCCCGCGUUGGAUUAGGUAGUUGGUGGGGUAAUGGCCUACCAAGCCGACGAUCCAUAGCUGGUUUGAGAGGAUGAUCAGCCACACUGGGACUGAGACACGGCCCAGACUCCUACGGGAGGCAGCAGUGGGGAAUCUUAGACAAUGGGGGCAACCCUGAUCUAGCCAUGCCGCGUGAGUGAUGAAGGCCUUAGGGUUGUAAAGCUCUUUCAGCUGGGAAGAUAAUGACGGUACCAGCAGAAGAAGCCCCGGCUAACUCCGUG